CUGCCAGGCCGAGGAGAUUCACAGAGAAUAAGACAGAUGAGGAGACUUUCCUUUGAGGGGAAGGGAGGACAUCUCUGAUUUAAGUUAAGUUCAAAAGUAGAAGAGGACUCAAGCCACCACAGGACAUCUGUAUCCGGGAAACCAGCCUAUCCUGCAUGCUGGUCAAAGCGAUGAAGUAAAGAAUUUAAAAGCGUUGAUCAUCUCAGAAAAGAAAGCAUCUCAGUAUAAUUUACAAAAGAACUGUUGAAGUCAAUCCAUUGCAGUGGCUGUUACUUCAGGGGUUAGAUGAAUCCAUGAACUAUGUUUUCAGGAGUUGAAUGUCACUGAGAUGAGAUCUGAAGCCACAUAUUUGGAGAAGGUUAUGGAAGUGCAUACAAGAGUAUGGAAUCUGUCUGUGACAUCCAUUGGAAGAUAUUCUGAGGACUUUUUCACUUCUUCCCACAAAACUUGAUCAAAAAACGUGGAGAAAAUAAAACUUUUGUGAUUCAAUUUCAAGUACUUCUUUGAAGGAGCCUCUGAAGAUGGUCCAUAGCCACAUCUAUUAACUACUUUCAAGCUAAUGCUCCCAAAGUGUGAUGUGAUCUCACUGUGGUUUAAAAAAAAAUCUGUUUAAAGUUAUAGAAAAGAAGAAUAACUAUUGAAUAGGAUAUUUAGAAUGAAAAACUGGACACAAACUGUGCUGUCCACUUUGAAAUCAUAUAAAAAGCAGUAACGUGGAUGGUACUAUGUAGCCAAAAAAAAAAAAAAAAAGAGC